UGCCUCCCGGAUUCAAGUGAUUCUCCUGCCU
rnacentral:piRNA from 1 species